GGAAAAAUAAAAUUUAACGAUUAAGCCAAUACCAAUACGAAUCUAUAACAUAAACCACCCAAAACUGGUGUCACAAUAUCACUGACUAUCUAAGAAAACAACAAAUAAACUCUGAACAAGUAAGUACAUGUCUGUCUUUGGAAUAUAAAAAGAAUAGAAAGAAAUUAGAUAGGGAGAGGACGCCAAGGCAUGCGAAUGCCUGCAAGUCUACCUCGGAUCUCCUAAUGGACUGAAGGCAGCAACCGAGAUCUAGCUAAGGUCCGUAUGCUCCAGUACCGAGAUCUGCACACAGUGUAGAGUGUAGUAUCAACACAACCAACCCUAUGUGCUGGUAAGUGUCGACCCUAACCUCGGCGAAAUAGUGACGAGGCUAGGACGAGACUACCAAAUGAACCUGUGCAGUUAAAGCAUAUACGACAAACAGUAGUAACGGAAACUAGCAGUUAAAGAUUAAAAGGGGAACAUGCUGCAAGGGAUAUCAAGUAACAACAGUAACUCAGGAGAAAAAACAUAAAGAACAUUUUAAGGUUUGCAUCAGUAAGAGUAAGGAAACAAUAACAAAUCAAUAUCCACUUUUAUUAUUUAUUGUUGCGGCGCGCAACCCGAUCCAAAUCAUAUAACACUGUUGCGGCAUGUAACCCCAUCCAAUCAUAUAUCAUUGUUGCGCUGUGCAACCCGAUCCAAUCAUAUAUCACUGUUGCGGCGUGCAACCCGACCCCUCAUGUCCUCCCUUAUUACUCCAUGUUGCGGCGUGCAACCCGAUCCCAUAUAAUGUUGUUGCGGCGUGCAACCUAUCACACCUCCUUUUUACCACCCGAGAGGAGGUAUAAUAGAGUUUUUUCAAUUGAAGUGACAUUAAUCGAAAUGAGAUUUUUUUAAUUUAAUUACAGUCGCUACUUGGAAUAACUUAUUAUGGUGUCUCAAUUCACCGAUUUAUUUUAAAUCCCAAAUCGAGGAAAAUCGACGUUAUUUAAAAAUCUGCAAAACCAGAAAUUCUAAGUAAGGAAUUCUGUUAAUCCGGGAGAAGGUGAUAGGCAUUCCCGGGUUCCAUGGUUCUAGCAAGGUCGCUUAAACUAUUAAUAAUUGGCCUAUUAUCUAAGUUAUUACAUGUUUUAAACCUAUUGUGCAUUUUUAACUUUAUUUUUGCUUUUAAUUUAUUUUUUUGAUAACCGAAAUAUCCGUGUGGCGCCGAUCCUUUGGACCAACCGCAGCCUUCGAAACUUAGUGGAUCUUAAAUACCAGGCUUUGCUUUGCAUGGUGGGGGCUUUGAACCUGUGACCUAAGACGCAAAUCCACCACCCUUUGCCACUUGAGCUAGGCCCUCGGGGCGAUUACCGCUUUUAAUUAUUUUAAACCUCUUUUUAGUAUUUAUGGGAUUAUUUCUUGAACAAGUUACAAUUGUCGUGCACUUGACUUUUUGGAACACACUGCAAACCAUGCUACAUGAAAUACACCCGCGAUUCGUGACAUGUUUAUUUUAUUAUUGAAUGUUCGAAGUUGUUAUAGUCGGGUCACAUGAAAUGCACACCCGAAUUUAGAUUUAUGUACCAUGACUAUGCCACGGGAACCGUACCCAUAGUCACGAUAGUUAAUUUACGCACCUAAAGCAAUACUACGAAUGUUUACACGUCAUUCUAAAUUUAGAAUUGUUGUGAAGGCCAUAAGUUAUGGAAUUAUUUGUGAUCAAUCCUUUAGAUUAUUCUUCAAUAUGUCUACUGGAUAAAUAAAGCAUUUGGUUCAUUUCUUAAACUCCAAUUAUUAAAAAAAAAAUCGUUCCUUUUAGUGACAAUAGACGUUAAAAUUAAGUAUAUUGUAAAUAUGUAAGUAUUCCCCUCCAAGAUAUUCCAACAGGUUUAUCAAAUAAGCUUACCAGAAUUCAACAAAAGGAAAUAAUGUAGAUAUGGGGUUCUACAAUCAUUCUCAAAAUUUAACUUCAUUUUGCAUUGAAACCAAAAGAAAAAUCCCAAUCAAUAUUAAAACGAGCUAAUACACUAAGGCCCUGUUUGGCCAUACAUUUUGGCAAUGUUUUUUCAAAUCUUUUUUGAAAAUAUUGUUUGUUCAUAGAUUAAUGAUUUAUUUUUGAAGAUUUUCUGAAAUUAUUUUUCAAGUUCCCAAAAUCUAGUUUAGGGUAGAUUUUGGGUGAAACUUGUUCUCCCCCUCACAAAACUUCAAAUUUUUUUUCAAAUAAAAUACAUGUCCAAACAUAAUUUUAACUUCCAAAAAUUAUUUUUCAAAACUACUUCAAAAAUUACUUUUUCAAGUUUCAACUAAAUUUAUGUCAAAACCCUAGCUAGCCCAACAAUUGCAUCUAAUACGUGACUUGACCCAAAAUAUUAACGAGAUUCUAUCCAAAAUGUUUUAAGUAAUAGACAUCAAACAAAGCAGUCCAACUUUCCAUAAACUCAUCGUAAAAAUAUGACAAAAAAAGAGCUCAAAUCUAACAGAAUUCAUUGUUCUUCAACUCAAAAUUCGGUCUACUCCUAAAGGUCCUUAGAAAACCUUCAUGCUUUCUGCUAUUAGAAUAUUAGUAUCAAUAUCUCAUAAAAUCUACUGCUGCUCAUAAUAUUAAGAAUCCAAGAGCAAACAUAACAUGGAUCUAAAAUAUUUAAACCAUAGAGAGAUGAUAUAGAGUAGUAAAAGAAAGAAAGAGUCGGACCUUAAGUAAUGAAACUUUUCCCAUGUAUUGAUAAGAAAUUUCAAAUAAACCAGCUGAUACAGUUGCAUCUGUCAAACCCAAUGCGAAAACCGAGAAACUGAAGCAGAGAUAAUGGACAGAGCUCGGACGACCUCACAUUCGACGACAAACCGGACCUUUUGAAUGGGUUUUGACUCAAAUUUUCAAGCAAUUUGGGAUGAAACUGGUGGGUUUUAAUAGUGAUUAUUGGCUAGUUUAAGGUGGUAUUUUUGGAGUAGAAGAGCUGAAAUUUAGGAAAUAAAAUCAACCCCCUCCUCAACUGUACCUCACGAUUUUUGCCGUUUCCCUCCUUUCCUUCCUUGUUUGUUCGUCCCUUUCCCGUGAGUCUUUAUCCGUAUGGAGAGAAGAAGAAAGUCCAAUUUGAAAAGGGGGGAGGCUUUUGGUCAUUUUGUGUGUUUUUUGUUUGUUUGGGUGUUCAAGGUUUUGUCCAAAAUCAAGGAGGAGAAAGGUGUUGAUGGGUCUUUUGGAGGUUGUUCAUUCUUUUUUUGAUUUUUUGGAAAUAGCUGCUUUAUCUAGGUAUAUCCCCUUUGGUUUUUAGCUAGGUCUAGG
rnacentral:lncRNA from 1 species